CAAGGAGUUCAGUUUUAGAGAGAUUGAAUUUUAAAGAGUGGGAGGACAUUCAGUCAGAGAUGGAAGAAAGGCAAGCAGUGAUACGUUGCAGGACGGCAGGGGAGAGGUCCGGGGAGGAGAGGUAUAUUUGAGUGUCAUCAGUGUAUUGGUGGUAUUGGAAUCCAAAUGAGGUUAUAAGUUUGCCAAGAAAAGCAGUAUAAAGCUGCGAUUAGGUAAUUGGUGACUUUAAUAAGAGCAGUCUCAGUAUAAUGGAGGGGGCGGAAGAAAGACUGAAGAGGAUCAAGGAGAGAGUUGGAAUUGAGAAAACAAGUCAGAUGGGUAAAGACCAGUCUUUCCGGAAGCUUUGAGGAAAAAGGGAGCAGGGAUAUGGGACAAUAGUUAGAAGGGGAACACCAGAAGAGAGAGAGCAGUUGAAGAUGUGUGUUAAGGAAGGCACAAAACAAGAGGAGAGAGAUCUAAAAAGGUUAGACGGGACAGGAUCAAGUGGGCAAGUGGUGGGGCGAGAGGAAAGGAGAAGCACAGCCAUCUCUUGUUCAGUAGCCUGGGAAAACAUCUGAAGGUUAGGAAAGGCAUGAUCCCGGUGUGGUUGAGAAAUAGAGGGGCAAGAGUGUGAGAAUUCUUUCCUUAGUUGUUCAAUCUUGUCGAUAAAGUUGCUAGCAAAGCUAUAGCCUGUAAGGUUAGUUUGGGGGAUGGCAACAGCAGGGCAAAAUAGGGAGUUAAAG